rnacentral:rRNA from 1 species
GACGAACGCUGGCGGCGUGCUUAACACAUGCAAGUCGUACGAUGACCCGGCUCUUCGGAGCUGGUGAUUAGUGGCGAACGGGUGAGUAACACGUGGGUGACCUGCCCUGCACUCUGGGAUAAGCCCGGGAAACUGGGUCUAAUACUGGAUACGACCAGUGGCCGCAUGGUCUGCUGGUGGAAAGCCCUUCGGGGUGGUGUGGGAUGGGCCCGCGGCCUAUCAGCUUGUUGGUGGGGUGAUGGCCUACCAAGGCGACGACGGGUAGCCGGCCUGAGAGGGUGUCCGGCCACACUGGGACUGAGACACGGCCCAGACUCCUACGGGAGGCAGCAGUGGGGAAUCUUGCACAAUGGGCGAAAGCCUGAUGCAGCGACGCCGCGUGAGGGAUGACGGCCUUCGGGUUGUAAACCUCUUUCGGCAGGGAACAAGCCUGGGGGGUUUCUUCUGGGUGAGGGUACCUGCGGAAGAAGCACCGGCUAACUACGUG